rnacentral:lncRNA from 1 species
UAAUCCCCGCGGAAUUUACGCACUUUCAUCUUGUGUUCUUAGAUGUUCUCCAGGUAGACUGCAACCAACACCUUUAGAAUAAACUCACCUGUGCUUGGGCCAGCCUGAGUGGUCUUCAUUCCUUGCUGUCCAGAAAACCUUCUUCAAAUGCUGCAGCAUAACCAGCUUCUAACAUUGUCCACUGGAGCAGAGACUUUGGGAGCCAAGGUGAAGAUGGCGCAACUACUAGAGGGAGAGCUGGAUUCUAGAGUCCCCACUUGCUUGCCUGGAAGGAGAUGUGCUCAGAACUGCCAGGAUGUCAGAACAGGGCUCUGUACAAGCUCCUGACAUCCAAGGCUGUAGUUGUGAUAAUUUGUCCUAAUGCCGCUAGUCUUUGCCUAUGCUUCAGCUUAUUUGGGGGAACAAAACCAAUCUGAUUGCUCUCAACAUCCAAUUGUUGUCACUGAUUGGGUUCAAGGAAAUUAUUUUAUCUUCAGAAAACAUUUUGUUAUUCGAAGCAGCUAUAUAAGUAAGAUAAAUAUAUUUGAUACAUA